rnacentral:rRNA from 1 species
AACGAACGCUGGCGGCAGGCCUAAUACAUGCAAGUCGGACGGAUGUAGCAAUACAUUAGUGGCGCACGGGUGCCUAACGCGUGGGAACAUACCCUUGAGUAAGGAAUAAUGUCUGGAAACGGACACUAAUACCUUAUAAUGACUUCGGUCCAAAGAUUCAAUCGCUCAAGGAUUGGCCCGCGUCUGAUUAGCUAGUUGGCGAGGUAACGGCUCACCAAGGCGACGAUCAGUAGCUGGUCUGAGAGGAUGAUCAGCCACACUGGGACUGAGACACGGCCCAGACUCCUACGGGAGGCAGCAGUAAGGAAUAUUGGACAAUGGGGGAAACCCUGAUCCAGCCAUGCCGCGUGAGUGAAGAAGGCCUUAGGGUUGUAAAGCUCUCUCAAUAGUGAAGAUAAUGACGGUAGCUAUAGAAGAAGCCCCGGCUAAAUUCGUGCCAGCCGCCGCAGUAA